UCAACUUCCCAUUUAACUCUCUCUCGCGCUCUCACUCUUCAACUUCCCAUUUAACUCUCCCUCUAGGGUUCCCAAGCCACCACCUAAGCGUAGCUCUAGGCUUCGUCUCUGCUCUUGCCCGCAAUGUCCUCUCCCUUCCUUGGAGACAUCCUACUAAGGAAGACGUCGACCUCAAUGUCUUCUACCAGAGCUCGUAGUAAUGGCUUCAUUUCCAAUUUGCCUGAUUGUAAAUUUGCUGCAACAAACCCUAAGAUUCGCCAAUUUUUUUGCAAUGAAGCUCCGAAGAAGAGUGGGUUUUAUCGGUGAUGUUGCGUGCUUCGUGUGUGAUUGAAGCUGCUUCGUUUAAUUUGGUUUUCGACUUACUGUGCUGCUCUUCAGUUAGUGUUUUGAUUGGUAUUUUUCGAUUUUUGACAGAUUAUAAGAACUUCUAUCCCAAGGAAAAGAAGGAAGUUCCGAAGAGGAAUGACAAGAAACAUGAGUACAAAGGUAAAAGAAGAAACUUUUGUGCACACCCUAUUUUUUUCUAAAUUAGGAAGCUUUCAUGGCAAAUUGUUGGAAUAUGGUGGUGGCUACUGGUGUAAUGAGUAAACUGGAGGUUUGAGCAUGCCUAGAGUUACCAUUUUCCAUACAUAUUGUUAUUUUAUUUUUAUUUUGCAGGAUGUUGUAAGUUUGACCAAUUUUUUCCAAAACACCCGUGGAAUAUCAGUAGAAGAGAAGCGCCAUAUAUUUUUGCCUACAUAAUAAGCAUGAUUUUUGCAAGGAAAUAUUUAAAUGGCUUUUUACUUAGCAGAGAUGCCAAUUUCCUCGUAUGUUUCAAUUAUUUAUUCUAAGCAGGGUUGUGGUGCCCCUUAUUCAAGGUUAUGAAGAUGUUGGGGAUUUCAUUGUAUCAGAAAGAUUAGAGACUGGUGUACAUGUUAACUUGAUCUUCUAUCUAAUCAUUGGAUCCAUUGGCCUUUUUUGAACUCGUUCUUAUCAUUUUGACACACAAUAAGUGUUUUGAUGAGGUCACUUCUUGUAAGAGGAUUCUGGAGACAAUUUUCUUAAGGCAGAAGACAAAAUUUCAUCUCUUCCAUAAUGAGAUGGUGCCAUCUUUCUUUAGAAUUUAGAAGAUUAGCAUGGUCUCUUGAUGGUUCAUUUCUACAUGUGCUUCGAGUAGAAGUAGAUCUUUAUUCAAUUAGGCUCGUUGCAUUUUACAAUGUCUUUGUUGAUAUUCAAGAAAGAGAUUAUGGAAGCAUGCAUGCAGAUUGGAACAUCCUUCCUCCAAUAGAAAUCAAGGAUGUCAAUGGCUAAAUGCAGAAAAGUGGAUAUAUGACUUAUGUAUUGGAGGCAUUUGAAUUGGAAGAUACAAUAAAGAAUUUUGAUCGCCACAACUCAACUAAAUGGGAAUGUAAUUCAAGCAUUAGACCUGCUCAAACUGGCAAGUUGGGGUCCCUAUUUGAUACUUUAGGAGUGAUCCAAAGAGAAUGACAGAUACCUUAAAAAGAUAGAGAAUGAAGAAUCAUGCACAACUUAUAAGAUGUUGAAGUCAUGAUUUGAGUUUCUAGAGCAAGCUCUUUGAGAAGGAAAGUUAGUAUUUAUUCUAUACUUUAUAGAGAUAUAUGUUCUAUAUUUUUACGAUUCUUAUUUUCUUAUUUUUCUAUUAUUUUACUUUAUGUUUUAUGCAUAUGUGAUAUGUUAUUGUAUUGUCAUGGUGCUUUCAAUUCCUGUUAUUGUAAAUUUUAGUUAAGUUGUCAACGAAAUAUCUAUUGCUCAAGAAUCCAUUUGAGAAAGCAACUACUAUUGAAGAAGAAAA